GCGCCUGUAGCUCAGGAGGAUAGAGCAUCGGCCUUCUAAGCCGAGGGUCGUGCGUUCGAAUCGCACCAGGCGCGCCA
rnacentral:tRNA from 1 species